rnacentral:rRNA from 1 species
ACUCCUACGGGAGGCAGCAGUGGGGAAUAUUGCACAAUGGGCGCAAGCCUGAUGCAGCAAUGCCGCGUGUGUGAAGAAGGCCUGCGGGUCGUAAAGCACUUUUAUGAAGGAAGAAAAGCUUGAGGUUAAUACCCUUGAGUGUUGACGGUACUGCAGGAAUAAGCACCGGCUAACUCCGUGCCAGCAGCCGCGGUAAU